AUAAGAGAGCAGGCUGAGCAAGCCAAGGGAGGCAAGCCAGUAAGGAACAUCCCUCCAUGGCCUGUGCAUCAGCUCCUGCUUUCUGACCUGCUCGAGUUCCAGUCCUGACAUCCUUUGGUGAUGAACAGCAGUAUGGAAGUACGUCCUUUAUCAAUUGUCCUGUAUCCUGCACCUGGAAGGACAGCCUUGACUGGUAUAACAUAUUCAAAGAGCUGCAAAUUUAAAAGAGUCCAUAGAGACUACUCUCUGAUUUUCCUCUGGUGUCAAGUUGUUACCACAGCAUUAAAUGUGCUUCAAGGUGCCUAAAAUGGCACAUGGACAAUGUCUUAUGAAGGGGAGAAGACUCCAGUGGGAAAACCCCCCAAUAUAUUACCUGUCUAGGAGAUCAAGUGUCCAGCAAAAACAUACUGGAGAAGAUUACAACAGAGAAGAGUCUCAGGUUGCAUCUCCUGAGAACUCGGGUGUUGACCUACUAUGAUGUGCCAGUGUGCAGUGGAAAUCACAAACUCAGUGGAUAAAUAGAAAUGCAUUCCUCCUGUCCAUUUCCCUUUUCCUUUUCCCUUCUCCUUUCUCUCCUUCUUUAAAGUAGGAAGAAUCAGAAAAAUGGCAUAGUUCAUAGGAGUCAAACAAGAGAAAGAUGAAGGUGGAUGCUGAAACUCAUUCCUAAGCUUAUUGUUACUCCAGUGCACAGACUGUUCUUGGGCUCUAAAAUGCUAAGAAUACAAAUAUAGACAUGAACUAUUCUGGAGUUGAAUCCAUUGUCAAAUAGGGUAACAUUAACCAAGUACUGAGAGAUCUAGUAGAACCUAUUUCAACGCAAUGAGAAAAACAAAAAAAGUGCAUUGCUGAACUCAACCCAUCCAUAAACCUACAGAAUAAUGCCAUCUGUAAACUAUAUUUGUGUGUCAACGACACAGGAGGCUGACAAGACACUUUUCCUGUCCUCGAGACCGUCAGACAUCUUUGCUGUUCUCACUGUUCGCAUAUAUGCAAGGUCUUUCUGCUCCCAGUCCCUUGACGGCUGACCUACUAGCAUUUCUUAACAGCUGAAGGUGAAUCUCUUACCAUCAGGCUUGGAAUAUAGGUAGCUGUGUAUGCAUCUCCUUACCUGCUCAGAAAGCUCCAGAAGGUAUGCAAAAUAGCCUUUGGAGAGGAAAAUGGGACAGCUUCUGUUAGUUUCUCUCUCCUCUCAUGUGACAUGUCCCCAAGCCACCCACACAAGGCUUCGCAGAGGAGCAGGGUUACUUCAGAGUCCCUUUGGCAUCUGCACAGUCGGCAGUGUCAGUAACAGUACAUGCUAGGCUCAUCUAAGUGCUGUAGCUAAGUGCUCAGCUCUCUCUGUGCCUGGUUAUUAGUGCUUAGUUCAAGCUCCCCAUUCUAAUUCCCUUGCCAAGCUUGUGACACUUGGGAGUGUUCUCACUUAUCUUAUGGUUAUAAUGUAAGUCUC